UUCCCUGACCAGGGAUCGAACCUGGGCCUCCUGCAUUGGGAGUGCAGAGUCUUAGCCACUGGACCACCAGGGA
rnacentral:tRNA from 1 species